rnacentral:rRNA from 1 species
UAACUGCGAGUGAAGUGGCAAAAGCUCAAAAUUGAAAUCCGGUACCCCUUGGUGCCUGAGUUGUAAUUUGGAGAGACAAAUUUGGUUGAUGGCACCGGCCUAGGUUCCUUUGAACAGGACAACAUAGAGGGUGAGAAUCCCGUGCCUGGCUGGGUUAUUUGCUGUCACGCGCUAAAUUGUCUUCGACGAGUCGAGUUGUUUGGGAAUGCAGCUCAAAAUGGGUGGUAAAUGUCAUCUAAAGCUAAAUAUUGGCGAGAGACCGAUAGCGCACAAGUAGAGUGAUCGAAAGAUGAAAAGCACUUUGAAAAGAGAGUCAAAAAGUACGUGAAAUUGCUGAAAGGGAAGCGCUUGAGAUCAGACUCGAGCUGUGGUGAUCACCCGUGCUUCUGUGCGGUGUAACUUGCCUCGGUUUGGGCCAGCAUCGGUUCUGGCGGUCGGAUAAAAGGUGGAGGAAUGUAGCUUCCCUUGGGGAGUGUUAAUUUAACCUCCACCACAAUGCGGCCAGCUGGGACCGAGGACUGCGUGGAAAUUUUCUGCUAGGAUGCUGGCGUAAUGGUCUUAAGCGACCCGUCUUGAAACACGGACCAAGGAGUCUAACAUUUAUGCGAGUGUUCGGGUGGAAAACCCUUGCGCGAAAUGAAAGUGACCCAGGUGGGAACCCGCAAGGGUGCACCA